UACGGGGGGGGCAAGCGUUGUUCGGAAUUACUGGGCGUAAAGGGCUCGUAGGCGGCCAACUAAGUCAGACGUGAAAUCCCUCGGCUUAACCGGGGAACUGCGUCUGAUACUGGAUGGCUUGAGUCCGGGAGAGGGAUGCGGAAUUCCAGGUGUAGCGGUGAAAUGCGUAGAUAUCUGGAGGAACACCGGUGGCGAAGGCGGGUCUCUGGGCCGAUACUGACGCUGAGGAGCGAAAGCGUGGGGAGCGAACAGG
rnacentral:rRNA from 1 species